rnacentral:miRNA from 10 species
AGUCAGCCUGUUGUUUGAAGCUUUGGAGCUAGGCAUUGACUUCUCUCUAGCCAUGAAAGUCCUAGACAAUAUCUUCUUCCAGCAGAAGGUGGUUUCAUCUACAUUG